rnacentral:rRNA from 1 species
UACGAAGGGGGCGAGCGUUGUUCGGAUUUACUGGGCGUAAAGGGCGCGUAGGCGGUUCGUUAAGUCCUGUGUGAAAUCCCCCGGCUCAACUGGGGAACUGCACAGGAAACUAGCGGGCUUGAGUUCGGGAGAGGGAAGCGGAAUUCCGGGUGUAGCGGUGAAAUGCGUAGAUAUCCGGAGGAACACCGGUGGCGAAGGCGGCUUCCUGGACCGACACUGACGCUGAGGCGCGAAAGCUAGGGGAGCAAACGGG